GAUGAACGCUGGCGCGUGCCUAUACAUGCAAGUAGACGCUGAAGCUUGGUGCUUGCACCGAGCGGAUGAGUUGCGAACGGGGUGAGUACGCGUAGGUAACCUGCCUGGUAGCGGGGGAUAACUAUUGGAGAACGAUAGCUAAUACCGCAUAACAGUCGACAUUGCAUGAUGUUGAUUUGAAAGGGGCAAGUGCUCCACUACCAGAUGGACCUGCGUUGUAUUAGCUAGUUGGUGAGGUAACGGCUCACCAAGGCGACGAUACAUAGCCGACCUUGUAGAGGGUGAUCGGCCACACUGGGACUGAGACACGGCCCAGACUCCUACGGGAGGCAGCAGUAGGGAAUCUUCGGCAAUGGACGGAAGUCUGACCGAGCAACGCCGCGUGAGUGAAGAAGGUUUUCGGAUCGUAAAGCUCUGUUGUAAGAAGAACGAGUGUGAGAGUGGAAAGUUCACAACUGUGACGGUAACUUA
rnacentral:rRNA from 1 species